AUGUCUACUUGGAGGUUGUGCCCUUGAGGCGUGGCUUCCGGAGCUAACGCGUUAAGUAGACCGCCUGGGGAGUACGGCCGCAAGGUUAAAACUCAAAUGAAUUGACGGGGGCCCGCACAAGCGGUGGAGCAUGUGGUUUAAUUCGAUGCAACGCGAAGAACCUUACCUGGUCUUGACAUCCACAGAACUUUCCAGAGAUGGAUUGGUGCCUUCGGGAACUGUGAGACAGGUGCUGCAUGGCUGUCGUCAGCUCGUGUUGUGAAAUGUUGGGUUAAGUCCCGCAACGAGCGCAAC
rnacentral:rRNA from 2 species